UUGGCCUCUCCACUUCAGGGGAGUAUUGAUAGGCUCUGAAAACAUCUGUGGUCCUCUGGUCCUCGACCCAUGAGUGGAGCAAUCGGUUGGUGUUGGCUGUUAUUCCAACUUGCGAAGCGGACAAUUGAGCUGGUGUGCUUCAGGAACCUUGCCACGGUGACUGCCUUCAAAUAAAAAACAAAGAUGCAACCUGGGCUCUGGACCCAGGCUUCCAGCUUCCAAGACUCUGGACCUCUGCAGCCUUCCUCCAAGGUACUGCCGGCCUCUCCCUGCCUCUGUGACUUCUAGGCACUUGAUCUUUGACCUGCUGGCACCGAUGGCUCUUCCCAGGCUUCUCCCACACCAGCUGUUGCCACCCACGGCUAAGCAGAACCAAAGUCAUCCUUCAUCCCACACCAUAGUCUCCUAUGAAUGUACCUCCUCCCCACCACCAUCUUCCCCUCCACCCCUGCCAAGAACCAUCCCAUAGGACAAAUAGUAUUUUGGGGAAAGGAAAAAAAAAACAGCACAUGUGAUCGAUCCAUUGAAAAAGUCCAAAUCCUGU